rnacentral:rRNA from 1 species
UACGUAGGUGGCAAGCGUUAUCCGGAAUUAUUGGGCGUAAAGCGCGCGCAGGCGGUUUCUUAAGUCUGAUGUGAAAGCCCACGGCUCAACCGUGGAGGGUCAUUGGAAACUGGGGAACUUGAGUGCAGAAGAGAAAAGCGGAAUUCCACGUGUAGCGGAUGAAAUGCGUAGAGAUGUGGAGGAACACCAGUGGCGAAGGCGGCUUUUGGUCUGUAACUGACGCUGAGGCGACGAAAGCGUGGGGAGCAAACAGG